CCCAAGAGAUCGGGAUAACACCUGGAAACAGAUGCUAAUACCGGAUAACAACAGAUGAUGCCUAUCAACUGUUUAAAAGAUGGUUCUGCUAUCACUCUUGGAUGGACCUGCGGUGCAUUAGCUAGUUGGUAGGGUAACGGCCUACCAAGGCGAUGAUGCAUAGCCGAGUUGAGAGACUGAUCGGCCACAUUGGGACUGAGACACGGCCCAAACUCCUACGGGAGGCAGCAGCGC
rnacentral:rRNA from 1 species